UCUCAGAGGACUUAGCUGCCCAUAGAGACACCCAGGGAGGAGACUUUGUGAAAAGGAGCUCUCUCAAGCCAGUCAAGGAGAUGAGCCGUGGUGAAGAGCAGAAAAGGAGUUUAAUCAGUAUGGCCAUGCUGAGAAGGACAAAUAAAGAGGUCUAAGAUCUGUCUUCUGGGGGCUGACGGAAACUUUGGGGUUUUGUAGAAAUGGGCAGGAAAGGUACAAGAAGGACACUAACUGAUGCUGGAAUUAAAUUGUGGCUUGGAGAGAAGUUACAGAGGGCAGACCAUAUGAAGCCGUGUGGAAGUGAUGUGAACAGCACAUCUGCAGAACCUGAGACUGACAACAUGAUGGUGACUUCACCAUCAUGAGAGGCUGCUGUGAUGUGUAUCUGCACACUAAUGAUCAUGCUGAACACCCAAAUGGAAGCCAGUCUGUUGUGGCACUUGCUGCCAUCUGCAUUUCCUCCCACAGCAGCAAUGAAAACCAGUGGCUUACGCAGCUCAGA